UACGUAGGGUGCGAGCGUUGUCCGGAAUUACUGGGCGUAAAGAGCUCGUAGGUGGUUUGUCGCGUUGUCCGUGAAAACUACACAACUCAUUGAUGGGCGUGCGGGCGAUACGGCAGACUGGAGUACUGCAGGGGAGACUGGAAUUCCUGGUGUAGCGGUGAAUGCGCAGAUAUCAGGAGGAACACCGGUGGCGAAGGCGGGUCUCUGGGCAGUAACUGACGCUGAGGAGCGAAAGCGUGGGGAGCGAACAGG
rnacentral:rRNA from 1 species